rnacentral:rRNA from 1 species
GUGCCAGCCGCCGCGGUAAUACGGAGGGCGCUAGCGUUGUUCGGAAUUACUGGGCGUAAAGCGCACGUAGGCGGCGAUUCAAGUCAGGGGUGAAAGCCCGGGGCUCAACCCCGGAACUGCCCUUGAAACUAGAUUGCUAGAAUCCUGGAGAGGCGAGUGGAAUUCCGAGUGUAGAGGUGAAAUUCGUAGAUAUUCGGAAGAACACCAGUGGCGAAGGCGACUCGCUGGACAGGUAUUGACGCUGAGGUGCGAAAGCGUGGGGAGCAAACAGGAUUAGAUACCCCAGUAGUCC